rnacentral:rRNA from 1 species
UACGGAGGGUGCGAGCGUUAUCCGGAAUACUGGGCGUAAAGCGUGCGCAGGCGGCUAUGCAAGACAGAUGUGAAAUCCCCGGGCUCAACCUGGGAACUGCAUUUGUGACUGCAUGGCUAGAGUACGGUAGAGGGGGAUGGAAUUCCGCGUGUAGCAGUGAAAUGCGUAGAUAUGCGGAGGAACACCGAUGGCGAAGGCAAUCCCCUGGACCUGUACUGACGCUCAUGCACGAAAGCG